GCAUUCUUCAUAUGGGCUGUCUCAUUGCAAAUUGCAUGAGUGCAUUUAAGAGAUGGCCCCAUUACUAUUUUUUUUCCAUCAGCUGUGGUGAGUGGCUGCUUUUGUAGAACAUGAAGUUUUCCUGGACAGGCACAGUGGCUCACGCCUGUAAUCCCAGCACUUUGGGAGGCCAAGGUGGGCAGAUUACUUGAGGACAGGAGUUCAAGACCAGCUUAACAUGGCAAAACCCCGUCUCUACUAAAAAUACAAAAAUUACCUGGGCAUAGUGGUGCACGCCUGUAAUCCCAGUUACUGGGGAGCUUGAGGCAAGAGAAUCGCUUGAACCUAGGAGGUGAAGGUUGCAGUGAGCCGAAACUGCACCACUGCACUCCGGCCUGGGCAACAGAGCGAGGCUGUUUCUCAAAAAAGUAACAUAAAAUAAAAUUUAAAAAUAAAUAAAUAAAGAGUGGCCAGGUACUGUGGCUCACGCCUGUAAUCCCAGCACUUUGGGAGGCCGAGGUGGAUGGAUCACUUGAGGUCAGGAGUUAGAGACCAGCCUGACCAACAUGGUGAAACCCCGUCUCUACUAAAAGUACAAAAAUUAGCAGGGCAUGAUGGUACCCACCUGUAGUUCCCGCUACUUGGAAAGCUGAGGCAGGAGAAUUGCUUGAACCUGGGAGGUAGACAUCGCGGUGAUCCCAGAUGACACCACUGCACUCCAGCCUGGGGGACAGCAGAAGAAAAUGUCUCAAAAUAAAAAAGUCAUUGGAAGCGCCUGACUCUCACCCAGGCUAAGUUAUUAAGCCUCCAGCCUCCACAGCCCAGGAAGGCCUGAAAGCAGGCAUGUGGCAGACUGCCACGGUUACUACUUGAGACGGUCACUACAACAGUUACUACUGCUACUACUUGAGACCUUCGUUACAAGACUGAAGGAAGGGGGAACGAAUGUAGAAAUGAAAACUUAAGACAAAAGAAACUGUUUUAAAGAAGAGGCAUGGGGAAGAAGAGAGCUCCCCGCUUCUAGCUUCAGAUGUACCAAAUCAGAAGAAACACUGUGCCUGGCUCGUGACCGCCCUCAGCAUUCCUUCUGGGCGGCAGACGCAGUUUGUCAGUUUGCCAACAUUCUGCUUUUAUGAGAAAGUUUGCUGUUUACUCAUAUGGCCUCCAGUGGUAUACGGAGUUGAUCACCACCCUCAAUCUUUCGGCCUCCAACAGAGGCAGAACUAUGUGAGCUGCCACGACCCCAACAACAAUGCCCCUUUGAGGUGGCCAGACGUCCAGUAUCAGAUCUUGGGCGGCCGGACAGCAAACCAGAUCAUUUUCGGCCACAAUGGCUUUUAUGUCUUCUACAUUUCGAUCGUGGAUCCGUACUACAGCUACUGUCAACUGGAGACCAUCUUUAGCAUCUACGUGUAUGGAGCAUUCCCCGUGCAGCUGGUCUCUGCUGGAGUCGUCAUCCUACUGAUCAUCUCCAGCAUCCUGGGGUCCGUUUGGCUGGCCUACAAGACCCCCAAGCUGCUACGCACAGCACGCGGCCGCAGGAUCAAGAAGUGUGCGACACAGCUGUGUAGGAGAUGCAAGACGGUCUGCCAGUUCAGGGCCUCAGCCACAGCCAGGGCAGGCACAGAGCCCCCGGGACGCCACCGCACUCCUCACGGAGGCAGGUCUGACCACUGAGGCCGGUCCACAGGGUCCCAACCCCUUGUCUUCAAAUAAAGUAUAAUGUAACAUAGCA
rnacentral:lncRNA from 10 species